GCAAAUUGAGCUGGAAGGUGGGGGGGUUGGUGUAAAAGUGCUUAUGUACUUUCGCAUAAGAACCUCCCACCCGUAAAAGCGCAGACAGGGGAGGCGGGAACAAGAUAAGGAUUGUCGCGGUGGUUGCCUUGAAUUGAGCUUUUGUUUCAUUUCGCUGGUAUGGGACCGCGAUUUCAUGUCCUUGCGCAAAGCUAGACGGGCUUGAUCUGAUGCGCUUUCCUUUCAUUUACCUGCGCUAAAUCUGUUUCCAUGCUUCCUUCUGGGCCCAUGGCCGUGUGUGAUCAAGGGUGCAAAUCAGUAUUAGUGUAGGUAGCGUCGUCUAGCACUGUUGGGUGCUGGGAUACUGCAAUGUUCAGCCAGCAGAUGAAUUCCGACCAGCCCCUGAAGUUGAUGAUGCAGAGAAUGCAGAGAACUGAUCCGCGAGACUCACAGAGCACGUAUUUUUCUCAAGCUUCUCUGUCACAAGAUUUGUCGCAACCUUUGCAUGGCUACGGCGAAAAGGUCAAGGUGUCGCCCUACCCCCGCAGCCGGUGGAGCUGCGAAGCGGUGGCGGCGCGGCCCGUGCCGCCCGACAACAGCCAGGACUCGGGCGUGCAGGU